AGACCAACUGGCUGUGACAUCUGGGAGCAGUGCAAUUUUAAGAGAAGCCUUACUACAACUUCUGCCCCUGGAUACAUUUGUUUAAAAGAUUUUUUUCCUCCUCAUCCAUUAACAGCACCUAAAGCAAGGAUCAGCAAACUACAAUCAACAUGCCAAAUCUAGCCUGCUACCUGUUUCUGUAAAUAAAGUUUUUUUUGGAACACA